UGAAGCCGGAAUUGCUAGUAAUGGCAGGUCAGCAUACUGCCGUGAAUACGUUCCCGGGCCUUGUACACACCGCCCGUCACACCAUGAGAGUUGGGAAUACCCGAAGCCUGUGAGCUAAACCGGUAAGGGGGCAGCAGUCGAAGGUAGAAUCAAUGAUUGGGGUGAAGUCGUAACAAGGUACC
rnacentral:rRNA from 1 species